rnacentral:rRNA from 1 species
GAUGAACGCUGGCGGCGUGGCUAAUACAUGCAAGUCGAGCGAACGGACGAGAAGCUUGCUUCUCUGAUGUUAGCGGCGGACGGGUGAGUAACACGUGGAUAACCUACCUAUAAGACUGGGAUAACUUCGGGAAACCGGAGCUAAUACCGGAUAAUAUUUUGAACCGCAUGGUUCAAAAGUGAAAGACGGUCUUGCCGUCACUCAUAGAUGGAUCCGCGCUGCAUUAGCUAGUUGGUAAGGUAACGGCUUACCAAGGCAACGAUGCAUAGCCGACCUGAGAGGGUGAUCGGCCACACUGGAACUGAGACACGGUCCAGACUCCUACGGGAGGCAGCAGUAGGGAAUCUUCCGCAAUGGGCGAAAGCCUGACGGAGCAACGCCGCGUGAGUGAUGAAGGUCUUCGGAUCGUAAAACUCUGUUAUUAGGGAAGAACAUAUGUGUAAGUAACUGUGCACAUCUUGACGGUACCUAAUCAGAAAGCCACGGCUAACUACGUG